rnacentral:rRNA from 1 species
UGCAGUCUGCAACUCGACUGCAGAAGCUGGAAUCGCUAGUAAUCGCGGAUCAGCACGCCGCGGUGAAUACGUUCCCGGGCCUUGUACACACCGCCCGUCACACCAUGGAAGUCUGCAAUGCCCCGAAGCCGGUGGCCUAACCACUUAUGUGGAAGGAGCCGUCUAAGGCAGGGCAGAUGACUGGGGUGAAGUCGUAACAAGGUAGC